AAUUCUCUCUCUUCUCACCCACUCUUUAGCAAAUAAGUAGGUGACUGUUUAAGACCUGUAUCAACCUUAAAGCAGCAAAGAAUUGCUGAGGAAAGAGAAGUGUUUACUCUAGAUUCCAGUGAAAUGGACCAGUGACUCAGGGACACAACCAAAAUGAAAAAAAAGAUUUUUCCCUCAAAAAGUCCACAGUCCAGAGGAAAUAAAAACAGCAAAAGCUUGACAGACACGGAAUGGGACGUUAGUUAACAUCCAGUAAGAUCAAAUGAAAGGUAGAGAAACUAGGAACAAGAGAUCAACUAAGGGCAUCAUCCAGAAGUACAGAUAAGAGACUGAGAAUCUGAGCUAACAAAGUCAUAGUGAAGAUGGAGAAGAGGAAAGGAUGUGAGAAAGAUAUUCAGAAUGGAGAAUUGACAAGUCCUUGGAUCCUGUCUGGAGCUGGGGGUGUGGCUCUGUGUCCAUUACCAUCAGCCUCUGGACGUACUGUAAAACCGGUGGCCUCCAGACUGAGUGACAGAUGCAUGAGUUUACUCACUCAACCAGGAGUUCUGAGCAGAAGCAAGGGCCAGAGAAUGUGCAGCCUUGCAAGUCCUGGGAGGGAGUUUCAGCAUCUCCAUGCCAACCUGGAAACUGUUGAAUGACAAGUGCCGUGUGCAGCCCCGCUGCACUCAACCCGCAGAUGCCAAUGCCGCCAUCUUGAGUGGAGAUGGCAUAGCCUCCAUUUGGAACCAGGAAUUCCGGAGGGAAGAGCCUGGCGGCAAGGCCUCCAUGCAGCAUCCCAGGAGCAAAUGAAGCUGAACUGAGACAGAGGGGAAAACAAGAGCAUGAAGGCAGAACGUCUUGGCAGUUUCCCACAGCAGCACUGAGACCAGACUGAAACAUGCGGUCCGUUUUUGUUUAAGUCCUGAGGAAAUUAUAGCUCAGAGCAAAGCUCCCAAUGACCUUUUGGAUGCGGUCACUCUGCUGUGUGAACCUCCGGGCACGAGACCUUGGGUAUUUGGGGUCUCCAGCUGGACUGCCUUAUUGCUGCACGUUCUUGCUUAGAACACAGCCCCUCUGUGAGGAAGAAGCCCUCGUUUCUACACCAGACAAGAAUGUCCUCAGUGACAUGCAGAUGCCCCAGAGUCCAAGCCUGAGAUUCCCAGAGACGCACAGGUGACUUAGCCAGUCCAGAAUCAACCUCCAGGGCCUCACUUCCUGGUCAGGAUAUUCUAACUCCAAAGAUGGCUCACAGUCAGAACUUCAUUUCUCUUCAUUGGACACCCAGGAUGACCACACGGUGGGAUCUUAUUCUGUGGAUUCGAAAGGAUAAUUUUCUCAUUAUCAUAAGAGCCAGCAGUUACUUAGGAGUGCUGAGACUUUAUAGACAGUAAUUACAUUUACUCAUCACAGUAAUUUUGUGAAGUCAGUAGUAUUCUGCCAUAUACUCAGAUGAGGAAAUGGGUAUACUUAUUUGACUUUCCCCAAAUUAUAUACAUAAUGAGUAGCAUAAACCUGUAUCUGAUGCUAAAGUCUAACUUAUUGCCCAACAUUAGUGCCAGGGCUAUACCCAUGAAUUAGCCAGGCCUAUAAGAUGAUCAGAAAGGUCUCAUUUCAUUCCCCUGAGGUAUUAGGGAAAACCCCUAGAAUUGGAGAUGGACACACCUGGUUCGAGUCUAACUGUAACUUACCAAGAGUGUGGUUAUGCUAAACAAGAUAUACAAAUUCUGAGCUAAGGUUCCUACUGCAUUAGCUUAUUGUGUGGAUUAAAAGAGAUGGUACAAGCAAAGUGCCUAUAGUGCUGGGUCCACUGUAGGUGUUUAAUAAAUGCUAACUACAACUACCGCACAGUUGCAACUACU